UACCUAUAAUAUCGGCGGCAUCAGGGU
rnacentral:piRNA from 1 species